rnacentral:rRNA from 1 species
UACGAAAGGAGCAAGUGUUAUUCAGAUUAACUGGGCGUAAAGAGCUCGUAGGCGGUCUGUCGCGUCUGCUGUGAAAACUCAGGGCUUAACCCUGAGCUUGCAGUGGGUACGGGCAGACUAGAGUGCGGUAGGGGAGACUGGAAUUCCUGGUGUAGCGGUGAAAUGCGCAGAUAUCAGGAGGAACACCGGUGGCGAAGGCGGGUCUCUGGGCCGUAACUGACGCUGAGGAGCGAAAGCAUGGGGAGCGAACAGG